AAACUGAGGUCAGAGUUCCUGGUUUAGCUCACCUGCCUGGGGAUACUCCAGCCUUUUCCAUCCACUCAUGUCCCGUCCCCCCGCCGCCACAACCGCAGCAAAUGCUAAACCCGAGAAACCCAGGAAAUACAACCAUUUCUCCGAUGCCUACUCUGAACAAACCACUGACCAAUGCUUCAGCACGGUUAAAAAAGAAAAGAAAAGAAAAAAAACUAAAAAAGCUAAAAAGCUAAAAGCAACAUGAGGCCAUUGGGGGAGAUCUGAAUGGGGACUGCAUAUUAGAGAAUAUUACUGUAUCAGUUUAAAUUUCUUGGGUAUGAUGAUGGUAUUGUGGUUUUGCAAGGGAAUAUCCUUGUUUUUAAGUGAUAUUUGGAUCAAGUGUCAUGAUGUCUGUAACUACCUUUUAAUGAUUAGUUAAAACAGGGAGAGGAAGUAGGGUGUAUAUAAAUUUAUAUAUAGACAGAGAAAGAGAGAGAGAGAGGGGAAGCAAGUAUGGCAAACGGUAACAACUGGUAAAUGUAUAUGAGGGGUACAUGGGUGUUCACUGUACUAUUUUUUCAAUUUUGCUGUAAGUCUGAAGUUUUUCCAAAAUAAAAAGUUCAGGGUGAAAAAGUCUGGACACCAUCCAUGUUCAGAGCCAGCGCAGACCUAGCAACACAAACUGCCUUCAUCAAGCUGGGCAACGGUGUCAUUCCUCCCCAGGGUGCUGCAACUGGCAAGUGAGGCUUAGAGAAAUGUUAAACUGUCCUAUGUCAGAGAGGGACUGAAGGGACACUAAUAAGAAAGUUCUGGAAAACCUGAAAAGGAAGCAGAAGGCCCAAGCCUUACUCCUAACUCUGCCACUAAAUGGCUGUGUGCCUUUAGGCGGGUCUCUUCACGUGUAGAUGAGCCUCCAAGGGGCCUCCCGGCCUCUGAAACCCUAGCCCUACCAGGUCACAAAUCCAUCUGGCUCCUGGGUUUAGUUUCUGGAGCGUUUCCCACACAGAGGCUGUUUGCUCUGACUCUGCCCUUUCUGCCCCAGGCUCCCAGGCAGCUCAGCCAACUAUGGGGCUGCAGAGGGAGCUGGGAAGUCCUAUCCACAGAGCCCAAGGGGUCAGUGACAGUCCUCAGUGCCCGAGGAGGAAACAGAUGUGCUCCAAUCUCACAGGAAUGGCCAAGUCACAAAUGUAUUAAUUAGAUCCUGUUUACACUUUUGCUAUCAAUUCUCUCUGACCAUCUGUAUGACUAAUGGUCUGCUCUUUUCAUUAAGGCGUUAGGGGGCCCCGCAGUGCAUUUCACAGGCAUGUACUUCGCAGAAAUGUUGCCCAAUCUGGGAACGCAGUGUUGCUAAACCCCAGCAAAUGACUGUCCUCACAACAAGGCCCUUGUAGGAGAGUUCAUCAGCACUUUGCCCAGUCCCCAGAGCUGUCCUGGCAUAAUCUACAGUUCCAGGAGAAGAGGACACAUUCUUGGAAACCCUUCUUUCCUCAGCGGUCCACAAGGCUCAGAUUCUGUGAGGCAGGGCUGCUGGAAAGAUGCAAGUCCUUGGAUCAGCAAAGCACUCUUCUUCUCCCAGAAGAACACAGGGAGAGGACAAGAUAAAUCCAAUCUAGGAAAACUAGACUUGGCCUCCUCUACUUGGUCCGCUGAGUUACUGGAAGGAAGCCCUGGGUCUGGCAGGAAGGGGGCAGCGGCCCCCCAGACUAGGAAGAAAUGAAAUUCUUCAUUCUUCCUCCCUUAGGGGAACAAGAUGAUUGCACAGAAAAAAAUGCAGUGGAGUCGAAGGCCCCCAAACUUGCCAGACAAGAAAUCCAACAUGAACUCAGCUAACUGUCAUGAUUUGUAAUUUUGUAAUAAGGGAAAUGGAAUUAAUCUAUUUUGAAUAUUU